UAUUGCCCUCCUUUCUCCUUUCUCAUUUCACCUAAUUCCUCACACUCUCAGACUCUUCUCUCUCGCAAAACACUCUCUCCGCACACCCUCUUCCCUCUGUUGCCUGCCGCUGCUCAUCUUCCUCUCUCCGUCAGUCUCAAUGCCACAUACCAAGCAACCAGGGUUUAUUAGGCAACCAACAAACGAGUUAAGGCGAACAUAGGCUCGAUCUCAUCGAUUAGGAACGAUUUGUAAAACGGCGGGACACACUGAUUGGCCCCAAUUCGUCCACUUUGAAGGCACUUGAAAUACUUACGGGCUGUUAGAUAAAGCUGCUGCUUCGUCAUUCCAACUCCCAAGACACUUCCUUCUCCACCCACCAUUUAGCUCAUAUACAGCACAAACAUCCGAACUGCUCUCUCUCAGUCUGAAUCUCAAUCUGUUGCCGUCUCUCUACUCUGCUCUGGUGAACUGUAAGAACCCAAAUCUCCUCCUCUUUUUCUGCCCUUUUUUAUUUUUAAUUUUUGUUUAUGUACUCUGUUUGUUUCUUAAACACACUACCUGUUUCCUGCAAUGUGGAGAUCUUAGAAAUUUAGAACGGCAUAAAGCAAGUGUUUGUUUCUGUACAUGCAAUGCAUGGCUUGCUUCUGCUUCUGCAUGCGAGUUGCUUCCAAUUCCUGAAGACUAGCUCAUCUUUUAUGAAAUCUGAACCUAAGGUUAAGUCCUCCUACCUCUGUCAUUCUAGUAUACAUACUCUCUCCAUAUGGUUUAUUGAUUAUUCAUCCUCAAUUGAAUGUGUUUUCACUAUCUUUCUUCCAUCACUUGAUGCAUGAGAUGUUUCAAAACCAAAUUGGACAGCUAUUUAACUAACUUUUCUUUUGCAUGUCAUGUACGACUUGUGCAGAAGAAGAACAAGAGAGUUGAGAGCUCAAUGGGUUUGCAAAAGGAGAACGAAGAUGUUAUCCACAAUUGAAGGUUUUUUUAGCUGCAAAUCAAGGGUAGACAAAAUGCAUAGGGUAGACUUUUUCAAUGUGUCUAGAGGUGUAUUCGACUUGUUAGCGUCUAGGAUGUUUAUGUUAUUUUUGAGACUUCACUUGGUGCAUGUAUUCAACUUAUAUGAUUAAAUUCUUGAUUAAUGAAAAUGUGAUUAACUAAAGUAUUACAUUA